GGGAACUGUAACUACUCUGGAGACAUUGGAUCUCUCAUACAAUUUCUUCAAUGGAUCGAUUCCUGAUAGCCUUGGGCAAUUGACCUCAUUACGGACGCUGAAUCUCAAUGGCAACUCGCUCUCUGGAAGGAUUCCUGCUGCAUUAGGUGGAAGGCUCUUGCACAGAGCUAAAUUCAAUUUCACUGAUAACGCAGGUCUUUGUGGUAUUCCUGGAUUACCAACUUGCGGAACACAUCUUACAGUUGGAGCAAAAAUUGGGAUCGGAUUAGGGGCAUGUGUAUUUGUCCUGCUUAUUGCUACUUGCAUAACAUGCUGGUGGAAGAGACGGCAGAAUAUCCUCCGUGUGCAAAGAAUUGCUGCAAGAGAUGCUCCAUAUGCAAAGUCGAGGACUCAAUUCAAUCGAGAUGUACAAAUGGCAAGAAGCUUUAGUCAGGAACAUACGCGAACAGCUGCUGAGAAUGGAC
rnacentral:misc_RNA from 1 species